rnacentral:tRNA from 1 species
UCCCUGGUGGUCCAGUGGUCAAGACUCUGUGCUUCCAAUGCAGGGCAUACAGGUUCAAUCCUUGGUCAGAGAA